CACCUCAGGUAAUUGUACUCAUCCCUUUAAAUCUCCUCUGCUAGUUCAGUUAGGUAAUGUCUUCUCUUUGGCUCUCUGGCACAAGCAGGGACACAAUGGGCACUGCAAAAUCAGCUGCAACAUGCCACUCAAGAGAUGGCACAUGCAUGUUGUAGCAGUGGGCACAGUAAUCCCUGCAUAUCCCUUACCUAAAACACUGGAAUGUCUUGUGGCUUAACUGGAGGAUUUAUCAAGAUCUUCACAUGAAGGAUGCUACAGAUGUAGUGCCAUUACCAAGGAUUUACUCUCUACUUAGCAUUAAGAAGGAUGGCUACUGGCUUUUAUCAAAAUAACUAAAUGUAGUUUGUAAAAAUAAAGCCUUAUUAACAGAGCAACGCUACAAAACAAUACAAGCCCCUCUUCUACGAAGAACAUAUCACAAUGAAUGACAGAGCACCACAAAGACUUCUCUUGAAAAAGAGCCAAGUAAAGUAGAUUUCCCAGGUAUCUGUUUGAAGGACCUCAGGAGCAAAUACCACAGGCAGCUUUCCAAGCCUUUAUUUGUAGAAUUUCCGGAUUUGUUCGUGCUCCCAUAUUUGGAAAGAAGAUCUCGGGCAUCUCUACGUAUUUAACCUACUUUGUACAUCACUUUAUAAAACAGAUAAAAGCUACAUGGUAAAUACAUCCAAGAGAAUAUAAUAGACUACAUAAAAUACAUUUUUUUAAAAAUGUCCUAUGUUUUAAGAUGAACAAAAUGUAAUAUGAAAAUUUAACCAAAGAUCUUAGAAUUUAUGCUUACUACAUGUAUGACCUUGGGCAAGUCAUAAUCUACUAUAGUCUAUUAUGUGAUCCAAUAGAUAGAGUGCUUGUCCUGGACUCAGGAAAUAGAGUCCAAACUUAGACAUCUACUAUCUGAACGACCCGGGGCAAGUCACUUAACCUUGGCUGCUUCAGUUUCCUUGCUGUACAAGGGGGAUAAUCAUAGCACUUAUUUCCAAAGGUUGUUUUGGAGAUAAACUCAUGUAACAUAUAAAGCACUUUGCAAAUAUACAUCCCUGGUUCUGAGAUUGUCAGGUCUAAAACAGUGGUUUGACUCGGAGGUCUCUUUCAGCUCAAUAUCUAUGAUCAAGCCAAGUCAUCUUGAGUAUCCUAAAACUUGUAAGAUAAGAAAAAGAGGUAGGACAGUCAUUCAGCAGGAAGUAGACAUAAGAGAUACACAGUUCAAGUGUUGCCACAAAAAUCAGCCAAUCAGCAAGGCUUUAUGCUAGGUGCUUAGGAUAUUUCUAUAUAUCUAAAUAUAUUUGCACAUAUAUGUACAUAUAUGUAUACAAAUAUAUACAUAUAUGUGGAUGUCUAUGCACAUAUAUGUUUCUAUUUACAGAUAUGCAUAAUACAUGUGUGUGAUAUGUGCAUGCGCUAUGUACACAUAUGUACAUGUAUGCAUAUACAGAGAGAGACAAGGAGAAGAAAGAGAGGAAAAGAGAGGGAGAAAGAGAGAGGAAGAAAGACAGGACCAACUUGAGGUAGUACCUAACUUUACCUGUAAGGAGUUAAUAUUCUACCGGGCAUAUAGUGUGUUCACAGAUAAGUAAAUACAAGACAAAAUUUUAAAAAAAGUUAUUCAGAAGAUGAAAUGCUGACAACCAGAGGAAAUCAGGAAAAGUGUCCUAAAGAAGGCAGUCCUUCAACUGAGACUUAAUGGCCACUAAAGAUUUCAUAUCCGAAAAAACUAGGGGAAGGCUAUGAAUACAUGAUGUAGUUCCUCUCCUGAGGAUUUAUGGAAGUAUAUUGGCAGGAGCGUGCUGCUAAAUGUUUAGUAACAAACUCUCUGAAUGUCAACAACAUACGUGGAAAGGUUGACAUUUUUCUUCAUCAUUUUCUUAAGUCUAGACCAUCAGCAAAAUAAUAACCCAAGCCCUGAUUUGUAGCAUUUGCCACUUUCCACAGGAUAAAUACUCAUACUGGGAAUUUAACAAUUGGCUCUUGAAGUACCUGCCUCCAGCAUCCCCUGAACAUGACCAAAAGCUGAACAGAUAAGAAAAUACAGAUGGGUUGUGAGCUACAUGUGGGAAGGUGGGAGGGGUCAUGAGCAAUGAAAUUAUGGAUCCUUCAGUGGUAUCAAACUCAAAUGGAAACAUAUCCUUGCUGUAUAACGAGUGAAAAAACAACAACAACUAGAAAUUAACAUGACAUUGUGUUGUACUUGUAUUUAUUUUAACACUUUACAAAUUAUAUUUCAGUUUGGUUUGCUGCACCUGGGAGAUUUGUUGGUGGAAAGUUUGACACUUCUUAGAAUAUCUAAGGAAGGUUACCUAGUUGAAAAAUGAUAGACGUGUUCACUGAUGCCUAUAGAGUGUUCAGUUAAAGAACAUGGGGGUGUGACAUCAAAGAACCAUGAUGUGGUCAUGCAGUGGUGCUGAAUGGCACACAGAUUAUAAAAGUGGGUUGCCUCCCCCCCCAAUUUUAUGUUAUGAAGCACUCCAUAAGCAAGGCAAUUAAAUUUUGAGUCACGUAAACAUUAUCGUUCCUAUUUUUACAAUGAGAAAACUGAGGCACAGAAAAGAUGAAAUGACUUAUCCAAGGCCACAGAGCUUAUAAGUAUCAGAACUAAGACUUAAAAAUUUAAAAAAUCAAAUUGAUUCUAUUCUAUAAUUUAUUUGGUUUUGCAUCACUAGAGACAUUUUGUAUAUUACCUAAGUCAUAUUUCAUUUGUCUCUGAGUUAAAUUUGGAAAUUCAGCUUUCCUGCUAAUCACUGUUCUAUUCUUAUGUCAAGGAAAUCUGUUCUCCUUAAAGGAUGUAGGUGGAUGCCAAGGAAUCUGGUCUGUUAUCUCUGCACCACUGGCUGUCCUUCAAGCAAGCCUGGUCUGUUAUCACUGUGACACUAACUAGCCACAAGUAGACGCCAGCAAUGAGCUUUCCAUAGUGACAAGAUGGAAAGAGAGGCCCUGCAUGCCAAAUUUACAGUCAAUCACCUCGUGCCUCACAUAUACGAUGCUGCUGACUUUGUAACCACUUGUGUUGUUUUCUCCAUCUAUGAUGCUACCUUACAGUUUUUGGAUGCUCCUCCUUUUGUCCAUAAAAAUUAUUUGUCAGCCUUCAUUCAGGUUCUUAGCUAGCUGAAGAGGUUAAGAUUCUUUGCUGGCAAAUUCACUGUUUCCUAAUAAAUUGAUUGUGCUCAGAGA